CCUACGUGAGGCAGCAGUAGGGAAUCUUCCACAAUGGGCGAAAGCCUGAUGGAGCAACGCCGCGUGGGUGAAGAAGGUCUUCGGAUCGUAAAACCCUGUUGUUAGAGAAGAAAGUGCGUGAGAGUAACUGUUCACGUUUCGACGGUAUCUAACCAGAAAGCCACGGCUAACUACGUGCCAGCAGCCGCGGUAAUACGUCGGUGGCAAGCGUUAUCCGGAGUUAUUGGGCGUAAAGGGAACGCAGGCGGUCUUUUAAGUCUGAUGUGAAAGCCUUCGGCUUAACCGGAGUAGUGCAUUGGAAACUGGGAGACUUGAGUGCAGAAGAGGAGAGUGGAACUCCAUGUGUAGCGGUGAAAUGCGUAGAUAUAUGGAAGAACACCAGUGGCGAAAGCGGCUCUCUGGUCUGUAACGGACGCUGAGGUUCGAAAGCGUGGGUAGCAAACAGGAUUAGAUACCCUAGUAGUC
rnacentral:rRNA from 1 species